rnacentral:lncRNA from 1 species
CCUAAAUAUUGUAUGAGGACACAGAAGGAAUCUCUAUGAUGAAGUAUAAAGAGGACAUUGCAAGUAGAGGAGAUGGCAUGAGAAAGACCAGAAAACUAAGAAUAUUCUAAGCCUGACCCAUGAAUCCUAUCUUCUCAUAUACACAGUGUUGACUCCUUCCCACUUCUUUCCUCUUCAUUCACUGGAGACUUUUCCAUUUGGUAUAGUUUUAUUUUUCAUCACAUAUGAGGCCAUUAUUUUCACUGAUUUCAACAUUUUAGACAUAGUCAAUAAAUAACUUGUCUAUUGAAUUUUUCUCUACCCUUUAGCUCACACAUAUUUAGAUAUUUUCAUCAACAGAAAAUAUUUACUCCUUGUCAACUCUAAUGUCCCACUUUUAUUACUACUUUCUUGCUUUAAUUGUUUGCUUAAAGGCUCAAUGAGACUUUUUUUUUUCAUGAAUAACAUUAACAGACACCUUUUAUUUCUCUGUCCAAAACAUCUGUGCUCUGUACAGAGUAACAUAGUAGAAAAGGAAAGACCAGACAUACCUGAAGUGCACUUAACUUUUUGAGUGACAUGUAGUGGAAGAAUGCCCUAGCACAUCUGUGUACAGACAGAAAAAAGGUAUAACUUUCAAUAAACAUUCUUUUCCCUUUCAAAUUAAUUUCCCUUUAUUUAAGGUAAGCUUUUGGGAUCUAAAAAUAGAAACCCAUUUACCAGGUCAAAAUUGUUAGAUUAACAGCUUAGAGGUUUUUCUCAUAUUGUUUUUCUUGUAUUUUUAAUAUCACCCAGUGUGAUAGUGUUCUCAAGGCAUUUGGACUCAUCUAAUACAAAACAACAAAUUGGAUUUUGGGUAUACCUGACAUAACAGACGAGACCUCUCAGACUGAUCUUAGAAACAUGGUGGCAUAAAGUUAUUUAUAUGUAAGUCCAUCUAAAUACAAGGCAAGUUUUCAGCAACGGUCAUAAGGAAUUUCCCAACUCAAUGGCUUCACCUAGGGAUAUGAUAUUUGAACCUCUUGUUUUCUAAUCUUGGUGAUUUUUUUUAAAGUCUGAUAAGUCAGAGGCUUCAAAUUUUAUCAGUUCAUAAUUUCCUGUGCUACUAUUAUAAUAAAAUAUUUCCUCAAAUUUGUCUAGAAUAUUCUUUAUUUUUUUAUGUUUGAACUAUUGGUAAUUACGCUUAAUUAUAACCAUUCAUGUGAUUUGAACUUUA